GACAGAUUAGCGAUCGCGACCCACUUCCGGGUCUGUGGAACGCAAGGUGGAACGCACGCGGUGUACGCGAUGACGUCAUUCGAUUCCAUACCGCCGAAAUGAAAAUUGAACACCAGCUGAAAGACUUCAAACAUUAAAUGGGGAUGUAUAUAAAGGACUGUGGGAGGGAUAUUGUUAUUGUUGCUGCUAUUUUUUAUUGCACCUUAUCACACCAAGUCCCUGAGGAAGUCCAACCCUAGGAC